rnacentral:rRNA from 6 species
UACGUAGGGUGCAAGCGUUAAUCGGAAUUACUGGGCGUAAAGCGUGCGCAGGCGGUUCGGAAAGAAAGAUGUGAAAUCCCAGAGCUUAACUUUGGAACUGCAUUUUUAACUACCGGGCUAGAGUGUGUCAGAGGGAGGUGGAAUUCCGCGUGUAGCAGUGAAAUGCGUAGAUAUGCGGAGGAACACCGAUGGCGAAGGCAGCCUCCUGGGAUAACACUGACGCUCAUGCACGAAAGCGUGGGGAGCAAACAGG